UACGGAGGAUGCGAGCGUUAUCCGGAUUUAUUGGGUUUAGAGGGUGCGUAGGCGGUCCGGAAAGUCAGCGGUAAAAGCCCGGGGCUCAACCCCGGCGAGCCGUUGAAACUGUCGGACUAGAGACGGCGAGAAGUACGCGGAAUGCGCGGUGUAGCGGUGAAAUGCAUAGAUAUCGCGCAGAACUCCGAUUGCGAAGGCAGCGUACCGGCGCCGGACUGACGCUGAGGCACGAAAGCGUGGGUAUCGAACAGG
rnacentral:rRNA from 1 species